AGAGAAAGACGACUUUUUUAAUUUGGCAUGUUCUCGGUAAAAGCUUUGCUUUCGCUGUCAUUUUUUAAUAAUAAAGCAAUUAUACAAGUAGAGUCUCGUAGCUCAGCUGGUUAGAGCGCUACACUGAUAAUGUAGAGGUCGGCAGUUCGAGUCUGCCCGAGACUACUAUUUAGAAAUUAUAAUUGCUCCCAAGAGAAUAUAGAGGUUGGGGAAUUAGCUCAGCUGGCUAGAGCACUUGAUUUGCAUUCAAGAGGUCAUCGGUUCGACUCCGAUAUUCUCCACAGAUAAAUACUUUAAAAAGUAGAAUCGCAAAUAAGCAAAACGCAAAAAGUUUACUUUUUGAAGUUUAGUGAUUAAGAUUCUUUUAAAGUAUUUUCAAAAUGGGAUUUUGAGGAUCAGCGUAAGCUACUCCGAUAAAUAGCAUUUUAACGUUCAUUGACAUAUUGGUAAAAAUGAUAUCGUAAAGAAUCAAGAUAGAGACGUUUAGUUUAUACUAAACGAUUUUAAAUUUUUAUAAGAACAAAAGAGCUCGUUGUAGUAUUUAUACUACGGCAAAAAGUAC
rnacentral:tRNA from 1 species